AGCUGCCUAUAAAUAUAUGCUCUACGGAGCCUACAGAAGUACACUUGGAUUUUAAGUAAGAUAAAGUGUUCACUUGAUUUCAAAAAUAUUUACUAAGCGAGGCAUCCAUUUCUUUUCAGAUUCAGCUAAAAAGAAAUUUUAAAAAUCCAUUCAUCUCAAAAUAUUCCUUCUCUUUUACUUCUGUGCACUCUACGUUUCUGCUUCUUCGUAUAUUGGCCGGGUUAUCGUCACCUUUUUCAGGCUAUAUAUCUAAGUUUUCCAAAAGAAGAAGGAAAUGGCGGUUUACACAAUGAACUCAGACAAGAUAUUCCUUCGAUGCUUGGACAUGGAAGCAAUCCAAGUGUAUGAAUUGGAUAGUCCUUACUUAUUUCCGGUGAAAGGAAAACAUUGGGUCCAUCUUGGUUUCAGCAUUGGGCAUGGUAAUAAAAACUAUGAAGCGUUGAAGAUAGGGGACAAAGAGAUUAGAGGUCCAGAUUUAGAAAACUUAAUCAAUGAUCUUUUCAAAAUUUAAGGUACUCAAAGAGGCUGAAAACGGUAUGUACUUUUAUUGGCCCUCUACUACCGAAAAACCAGACAUGCAUAAUAACACCUUUAGGCCCAACACAGUCAAUUCCAGAAAAGAGAGUUUCAUUUCGAGCUCCUUACACUGGUGCCGACUUUGACUUCAAUAAUUGGCGAGUUUUUAGAGCCGCAAUACCCCUUUAUGUUGUGAAACGCCAAAAAUUUCUCUCAAACUUGUAUGAAAUAUAUUAUUACGACGGGAAUAGGUAUCAGGCGGAGGCAGGAGGCUUACACUAGAAAGGAAAUAGUUUCCGUUCCAUGUCCAGCUGCAAGCCUCUCUAACGUUGCUUCCAUGAAAUUAAGAUAUAUAAUGGCAUCCUAUUACUUCCCCAAAUCUUGUUGAAAAGAGUUGUUAACCAUACAACCCCUCUCUCUCCCAGGCAUCUCCAGACUUCGAUAGGUAUACCAUCGGGCCCCACUGCCCUCUUGCGUCCCAUCUUUUUCAGUGCCAUUUCGACUUCUCUCUUUUGAAUUCUUCGCAUAAAGUCUAGGUUAACCAUAUCUCGAGGGAUAUUUGUAUCCCCAAUAUCGCGUCCUUGAUCCCCGUUAAAACCGUCAAGUCAUCAAGCGUUCACAACUUACAAAGUCGAUUUUUCCUCAUCUUUCAUUUACUACUUCCUCUGUUUCCCUAAAUAAGUAUAUAUCGUGUCAUUUGAUUUUUUGCACUAUUUAUAUUUGUCAUGUUUGUGAUUCAUAUUCUUACAUAAAGAAAAUUGUAGACAUGUGGAUCUUAUUAGAGAGCCGUCAACCAUGAUGCAAUAUAAAUGAACGGAAAAAGUAUAUGAAUUUUUAUUUAAAAAGAUGGGUCGUUUUUUUUAUCUUUUUGACCGGCCGGCGAUCGCAAUUUAGAAGGUGUAUCAUAGUGCACAUAGAGCAUGGUACACCUUAAGAACACUAGUAUGUAUUUGAAAGAACUUCUGAUUACUAGAAAAGAACAUGCGAUGUCUUUGUUCAUCGAUUAUAUUGCAAUAUUGCCCAUGUUCGGCCUUUUCGGUUUCAUGUGAUAUUUUUAAGCAUCAUAUUGCCCUGUGAUCUCAAUUUGUGCUUAUUUUAUUAUUAGUUUGUCCUUG